rnacentral:rRNA from 1 species
CCUACGGGAGGCAGCAGUGAGGAAUAUUGGUCAAUGGGCGGAAGCCUGAACCAGCCAAGUAGCGUGCAGGAUGACGGCCCGACGGGUUGUAAACUGCUAUUAUACGGGAAUAACGCGCCUUACGUGGAGGGCUUUGCAUGUACCGUAUGAAUAAGGACCGGUUAAUUCCGUGCCAGCAGCCGCGGUAAUACGGAAGGUCCGGGCGUUAUCCGGAUUUAUUGGGUUUAAAGGGAGCGUAGGCCGCAUGUAAAGCGUGCUGUGAAAUGUCCGUGCUCAACCCGGGCCUUGCCGCGCGAACUGGCGUGCUUGCGUCCGCGUCACGCAGGCGGCAUUCGUCGUGUAGCGGU